rnacentral:lncRNA from 1 species
CUGCCGUGGCGGGUGGGCCGCCUGACUUCUCCUCCCGGCCAGUUCUCGAGCGCCUCACCGGGCCUCGCCCUGCAGCCUCGCUCUCGCUGGCGCUGCGCGGCCUAGGGGACUGGGCUGCUGGCCUCCGGGUGCGGGGUGGGGGCAGGCUCCGACCUGGGGCGUCCUGGCCGCGCGAGCCGCGGGAUGGGGGCCCGGGCCGCGGAGGAGGCGCCGCUGGUGUGUCCCUUGGUGGAGAGGGCGCUGCCGGCCCUGCGCGGUUUCCAGCCAGGAAGCUUCGGGAAGCCUGGACGUCUGCUCACUGGAGAUGACACGUGCGUGGGGUGUUGGCAUUCUUGUUAUUUAACACGGGAAGGAGGUGACUUCGCCUGUGAUGGACUUCCAGUGUGAGCACUGGCCAGAGUGACCAGGCUGACCAGCACCAGCCCUGAUCCAGAUGCAGAGGCCAGGAUGUGGGCCCAGCCCUGUGCCAGGAGGCUGGCUGGAAUAAAGGUACAGAUAGAGGCCUCACCCCCUCUGGGACCACUGGCACUCAGGGUGUUUGCAGCCUCAGAGCCCACCUGCCCCCAGGGCCACAGCUGCAUCUCCUGCCCUGCUGUCAUUACAGGGAUGGGCAGGCUGGCAUGGGGGCAGCCGCUGCCCCUGCCUGGGUGUUGCUGUGUAUUCCUGCCGGCCAGGGGCCACUGCCAGGACCACGCCUCCCUUUUCAUAUCCCGAUUCUUAAGUUCUGCUAUUGUGGUAUUCUGGUGGAGAAAAAAGAACCGCGUGGCUGUUUUUGAACUGCCUGGAACCUAAGACCCUGAAUUCUUUUCCCCCCCAAGGGGAAAAUCUAUAUGGAAAACAUUUAUUUUAAAAU